AGUCAAUAAGUUAAGAGAGACAUUAUGCCUUGAAAGUAUAAGAAGAAAGUGAGAUCCUUUCAUUGACUU
rnacentral:tRNA from 1 species